CCUGGCGGCUGUAGCGCGGUGGUCCCACCUGACCCCAUGCCGAACUCAGAAGUGAAACGCCGUAGCGCCGAUGGUAGUGUGGGGUCUCCCCAUGCGAGAGUAGGGAACUGCCAGGC
rfam:Pantoea sp. At-9b, complete genome.